UACGUAGGGUGCAAGCGUUGUCCGGAAUUAUUGGGCGUAAAGAGCUCGUAGGCGGUCUGUUGCGUCGGCUGUGAAAACCCGGGGCUCAACUCCGGGCCUGCAGCCGAUACGGGCAGACUAGAGUUCGGCAGGGGAGACUGGAAUUCCUGGUGUAGCGGUGAAAUGCGCAGAUAUCAGGAGGAACACCGGUGGCGAAGGCAGCUCGCUGGGACGGUACUGACGCUGGAGACGCGAAAGCGUGGGGAGCAAACAGG
rnacentral:rRNA from 1 species